AACCUGCACAGCAGAGCGACCAGCGAACACGUGAAUCCAAGUUCUUGGGACAGGCGAGUGGGAGUGAUCCCCCCGUCUUUCCCUUGCCGUCUCGAGUGCYUYGGCAUUUUCGAGAUGGAYAACAAACCCCACGGCGCGGACUGCGCCAAGGAAACAAACAAAGGAAAUAGCGUGUGGCCCAUYCGUCUUCGGACGUGCUGGGUYGCGUCGUGAAAUCCGAUCUUCGAACGACUCUCGGCAACGGAUAUCUCGGCUCUCGCAUCGAUGAAGAACGUAGCGAAAUGCGAUACUUGGUGUGAAUUGCAGAAUCCCGUGAACCAUCGAGUUUUUGAACGCAAGUUGCGCCCUAGGCCAUCCGGCUGAGGGCACGCCUGCCUGGGCGUCACGCACUKAGUCGCCCCUUCUUCUCUGAGGAGAGAUGGAGCGGAGAUUGGCCCCCCGUGCUUCCGAGUGCGGUCGGCCUAAAACUUGGCCCUUGGAGGCCGGCGUCACGAUCCGUGGUGGUUGGCAUCAAUUGUCUUAUCCGGAAUCCGUGGUCGUCGUUCCUCCUUUUGGACCACAAGGAACCCUCGAGAGGUUUAGGCCUCCACUCUGCGACCCCAGGUCAGGCGGGACCACCCGCUGA
rnacentral:rRNA from 1 species